rnacentral:rRNA from 1 species
AGAGUUUGAUCCUGGCUCAGAUUGAACGCUGGCGGCAUGCCUUACACAUGCAAGUCGAACGGCAGCACGGGGGCAACCCUGGUGGCGAGUGGCGAACGGGUGAGUAACAUAUCGGAACAUACCCUAGAGUGGGGGAUAACGUAGCGAAAGUUACGCUAAUACCGCAUACGAUCUAAGGAUGAAAGUGGGGGAUCUUCGGACCUCAUGCUCAUGGAGUGGCCGAUAUCUGAUUAGCUAGUUGGUGAGGCAAAGGCUCACCAAGGCGACGAUCAGUAGCUGGUUUGAGAGAACGACCAGCCACACUGGAACUGAGACACGGUCCAGACUCCUACGGGAGGCAGCAGUGGGGAAUUUUGGACAAUGGGGGCAACCCUGAUCCAGCAAUGCCGCGUGAGUGAAGAAGGCCUUCGGGUUGUAAAGCUCUUUUGUCAGGGAAGAAACGGUGAGUUCUAAUACAGCUUGCUAAUGACGGUACCUGAAGAAUAAGCACCGGCUAACUACGUGCCAGCAGCCGCGGUAAUACGUAGGGUGCAAGCGUUAAUCGGAAUUACUGGGCGUAAAGCGUGCGCAGGCGGUUAUAUAAGUCAGAUGUGAAAUCCCUGGGCUCAACCUAGGAACUGCAUUUGAGACUGUAUGGCUAGAGUGUGUCAGAGGGGGGUAGAAUUCCACGUGUAGCAGUGAAAUGCGUAGAGAUGUGGAGGAAUACCGAUGGCGAAGGCAGCCCCCUGGGAUAACACUGACGCUCAUGCACGAAAGCGUGGGGAGCAAACAGGAUUAGAUACCCUGGUAGUCCACGCCCU